rnacentral:rRNA from 1 species
CCUACGGGUGGCAGCAGUGAGGAAUAUUGGUCAAUGGCCGAGAGGCUGAACCAGCCAAGUCGCGUGAGGGAAGAAUGUCCUAAGGAUUGUAAACCUCUUUUGUCGGGGAGCAAAAAGGCUCUGCGGAGUCGUAUUGAGAGUACCUGAAGAAAAAGCAUCGGCUAACUCCGUGCCAGCAGCCGCGGUAAUACGGAGGAUGCGAGCGUUAUCCGGAUUUAUUGGGUUUAAAGGGUGCGCAGGCGGAGGCACAAGUCAGCGGUAAAAUCGCGGGGCUCAACCCCGCUCCGCCGUUGAAACUGUGUCCCUUGAGUGCGCGAAGGGUAGGCGGAAUGCGUGGUGUAGCGGUGAAAUGCAUAGAUAUCACGCAGAACUCCGAUCGCGAAGGCAGCCUACCGGCGCGCAACUGACGCUCAUGCACGAAAGCGUGGGUAUCGAACAGGAUUAGAUACCCCAGUAGUC